CUUUUUACCUGGUAGGGGAGAUACCAUGAUGAGGAAAGUGAUUUUCCCAGGGAGAGGCUCCCCCACUGCACUCUGGGUGUGCUGACCCCUGCGAUUUCCUCAAAUCUGGGAAACUCGACUGCACACUUUGUGAUAGUGAUAGUAGGGGACUACAUAUGCACUCUCCCUUG